rnacentral:rRNA from 1 species
UACGGAGGGUGCGAGCGUUGUCCGGAAUCACUGGGCGUAAAGGGCGCGUAGGCGGUCGUGACAAGUCACUUGUGAAAUCUCCGGGCUUAACUCGGAACGGUCAAGUGAUACUGUCGUGCUAGAGUACAGAAGGGGCAACUGGAAUUCUCGGUGUAGCGGUGAAAUGCGUAGAUAUCGAGAGGAACACCUGCGGCGAAGGCGGGUUGCUGGGCUGAUACUGACGCUGAGGCGCGAAAGCUAGGGGGAGCGAACGGG